rnacentral:rRNA from 1 species
UGCAAUUGAUCCUGGCUCAGGAUGAACGCUGGCGGUGUGCCUAACACAUCCAGGUCGGACGAGGCCCUUUGUAUUCGUACGAAGGUGUCCUAGUGGCGAACGGGUGAGUAACACGUAGGUGACCUGCCCCAAAGUGAGGGACAACCCCUGGAAACGGGGGCUAAUACCUCAUGUGUUCCGAGGAGUUAGAGGUCCUCGGAGAAAAGGAGCAAUCCGCUUUGGGAGGGGCCUGCGGCCCAUUUGAGUUGGUAGGGUAAUGGCCUACCAAGGCAAAGACGGGUAGGGGACCUGAGAGGGUGGCCCCCCACAAUGGCACUGAAACACGGGCCAUACAUCUACGGAAAGCAGCAGUGGGGAAUAUUGCCCUAUGGACGAAAGUCUGAGGCAGCAACCGUGCGCGAUGAAGGCCUUCGGGUUGUAAAGCGCUUUUCUGGGGGAAGAGGAAGGACGGUACCCCAGGAAUAAGUCUCGGCUAACUACGUGCCAGCAGCCGCGGGAAAACGUAGGAGGCAAGCGUUAUCCGGAUUUACUGGGCGUAAAGCGUGUGCAGGCGGUUUGGUAAGUCGGACGUGAAAGUUCCCGGCUCAACUGGGAGAAGCCGUUCGAGACUGCCAGACUCGAGGGUAGGAGAGGGAGGUGGAAUUUCAGGUGUAGCGGUGAAAUGCGUAGAUAUCUGAAGGAACACCAGUGGCGUAGGCGACCCGAUCCUGGCCUAUCCCUGACGCUAAGACACGAAAGCUAGGGGAGCAAACGGGAUUAGAAACCCCGGUAGUCCUAGCUGUAAACGAUGCAGACUUGGUGUUGGUGGUUUAAUAGCCAUCAGUGCCGAAGCUAACGCGAUAAGUCUGCCGCCUGGGGA